GGAUGCGAUCAUGCCAGCACUAAUGCACCGGAUCCCAUCAGAACUCCGAAGUUAAACGUGCUUGGGCGAGAGUAGUACUAAGAUGGGUGACCUUUUGGGAAGUCCUCGUGUUGCACCCC
rnacentral:rRNA from 1 species